UUUAAUGUUAUCUGCUGCCUCUGUUCCACAUUGACAUGAUUUAUUGCUCACCUCAAUAAUAAACAAUUAACUAAAGGGGUAAUAGUAGUGGUAAUGUACUUUACAUAUGUAUUUGGGGUGUGGUUUCUGAAAUUGCUGCGCUAAAUAUAUCAACAGGAAAUGCUAACUGUUGUAGAAUUUUAAUUUUGCAUGUCUAAGGUAUUGUAUUGUAUUGUAUCAAAGGUUCUCAAUCUGGCUUGAGGGGAAUCCCUACUGUCUAAACUCUACCUGGAAGCAAGGCAAGAGGCUCUCACAGAGGAUCUACCAGAUAUCGACUUCAGAGCAACCCUCAUCUUUUUGCCACACAUCUUCAAGGAGAACAUUGAGUGCUUUAUUACUCUUGGAAAGUUCCUGCCACUCCAUACCCAACUAUCCAGUUGACAGAUGAAGACUUGAAAAUGGCCUUCACUAGGAGAGCUCCGAACGUUGUGAAAGUGGACGGCAUCGAGUCACAGCUCAGCAAUUGACGAGGGAAUGUUUUGGCAAAUCAAGUACAUUUUGAACAUUGAUACCUUGUGGAUUCUUUGUGGUAAAAUGUUGGUUCCUCUGUCACUUUCAUGCAUAAAGUGUAAAGGUUGAUUGAGAAUGGACUUUACUAAAACCAGGUGAUGAAAUGGACUACCGAAUAUUUGACACUUAUUCUGUGGAUAACAGUUUUAUGUCACACUUCAACAUAGUAUUUUAAAAUGUACAAAAUUGACAAAAUCAUGUGAAAAUCUUAGAUCUUCUGUCAU